ACUAGUGGCACCCGUCUUGUGACAGAAGACACAUUUCAUUUGUAGGCCUCUCCUCAGAGCUAGCUCCACAUUUAUUAAGGCACCAGCCUGAGUCUCAUAGACCUCCGUGGACCACAGAGCGCAGUUCAAGUGGACCCACAGAUCCAAGUCAAGGUUGAGUAGCCUUGCUGGUCCAUCUGUCAAUCCAUCACCUUCUUCAUGACAAAA
rnacentral:lncRNA from 1 species